rnacentral:miRNA from 1 species
AAAUUUAAGGAGGCACUCACUUGCAGGUUUGUGCAAAUGCAAAGUUGGCUUUUGCAUGACCCUGGGGGUAGGUGCCUCCUUAAAUUU